AUAGUCCAUGCAUUUGAGUCAUUGACUUGAUAGUGAUUUCCUACAUAAAGUUUUAUUGAUCAGAUGUACUAUCUUUUCUUUAGCCAUUUAACUAUAGAUUUUUAAAUCAUUAGUCAGUCAAGGUAUACAUGACAUAAAACUGGACAUAUUACAAACUCACAUCCAUCUUUAAUGUUGAUGACUUUUGCAUGAUAGUAGUCAUAGUAUUGAGUUUCUCACCAAUAAAAGGGCUAGGUGGUUUUCCACCCCAUGGUGUGUCUGUCUCAGUCAUCUAUAAUUAGUUUGGGGUUUACAACUAAUAAUGCUUGAUGAAUGUGUUGUCAAUCUCAAGCAUCUCAUUGUGACUCCAGGCGAACACAUCAUGGUGUUCAACGAUGAGUUGCUUCAUGGACUGCCUCAUCUUGGGGUUUCAUGCUAGUCCCAAUUCUUAUUGUGCAUUUGGGUCAUGUAAGGCCGACAGGACAAGCUCCAAGGGCUCGCUUGGCUCUACUUGCUGGAGGGUUUGCUUGUCCCGAACCUUCUCAUCUCGAUCCAUCAAGCUGGAAAGUGGCAGAGACCUUUCGGUGUGGGCCUAACCUUCAAGUGUUCACAUGUUCUUUCCCCCGCCCUUCAAUUCUUGUGGAUAGCAUUCCCGAGCAAGCAUUUGCUCUCCCUUGAUCUCGUUGACCCCAGCGUUCAUGAGGAACUUCAUCUUCAGGGCUUUCACUACUAAGAAGUUGGUCAUUAUUGUGGACCUCCUGGGUGUUUUGCUAGCUAAAACCAAAAAGGUGAUUGCACCGACUCUUUGGACCACAUCCCUUGUGAACCCCUUCAGUGGCAUUGGGGCUGGGCGUAAGCAAUCAAGUUCGAGCCCCAUUUUGGUGAACAUCCCAAAACAAGAUGUCGGCUAAGCUGCAUGGUUACCACUAGGGUAUCGUCGUGAGGGUGAAGCACCCUUUUAUCAUCUUCUUCGUCAAACAUAAAAACGACGCCCUUUGUGCACCUUAUCUACCUGGCUGGGGGUCUUUCAGCUGUGAAUAUCUCUUUAUACCUGGCUUUGCAAGCGUGGGCUUUCCUUCCUAAUAAUGUGGGGCCACCACCAUCAUACCUGCUUGCUAUGGUGUGUAUCUCACCUAGGGGCCUAUCUUGUUGAGCUGGGAUCCAAUGAGGUGGCCUUUGAGGUGCCUCUCUUCCAGUCUAGCGUCUUUUGGGACUUUCUCUUUAUUGCAACCUUAUGCACCUGCUUCCUCUGUAAAUGGGACGUUGGCCCCUUGCAUGGCAUUGAGCCAAUAGGUUUUCCAACUCUUCCUUCCUCUGUUUUAAGAUAUAGCAGUCCUCAGUUCAAUGUCGGCCUGUCUCGUGGUAUGUGUAGAACCGCUGGUCUUUUUGACCCUAGUAGGCUACUUCCUGCGAGACUGGCAUGCUUUCCUCUUUGUACGACUUGACUGGUGUGGAUCUAUCUUGCACCUUGCACCCUGGUCAAUGACUCGACGUAUUGUCUCCUCACUUGGCAUCCUACUAGGUCUUCUUGGGAUUUUCAUGGGCCUUUACUCAUGUUGACUCGCUGGCUUUCCUUUCGACCUUCCUAGGGGCCAUGAGGGCCCAUUGGGUGUCUUUCACAUUGAUGAAGCUAUCCUUGUGGUCUCUGAACUCCCACAAUGUCGUGGGGAUCUUUCUCUCCAGUUCCUUCAUGAAUGAGAGUUGCAGCCAAAUGCCUUACAAAAGGGCAGCCAAGGUGAUUUUCUCAUUUUGGUCAUUCUUUGUCAUCUAUUUCCUAUUGAACCAAGAUAGGUAUGCUUUCAUAAUCUCUUCAUCGCAUUGCUUGAAGGUCAAGAGAUAAGUUGCUGGUCGUCUCCUUUGCCACACCUUUCAAUGUCAUGGGGAAGGUUUGGCAUGCAAUCUAGCCUAAGAACCUAUGAAAAGUCAUGUGGGCCUUAAAUGUCUCCAAGUGCUUGAGUGGAUCCUUAGAUUCAUCAUACAUCUCCAUUUGAAUGACUUUAAACUUGGGCGGGAGGGGAGUUGCCAUGAUCUCUGCAUUGUAUGACAAGUUAGUGCUAGCGAGUAGCUAGUCUAUGGAGGACGACGCGCUCAUCAUCUUGGCCAUCUCUGUGUACUUGUCCAUGAGGUCCCGCUGCUUGUGAUCCAUUUGUCUUCUCUCUUCCUCUGUUGCAUCUACUUAUGCAACACUCUACGACUUGGCAUGCUCGUUCUGGCUUGGUCCGAUAUCUCCCAUUGGCCCGAUAUCUCUCUUCCUGUCAGAGUCUUCCCACUUCCGUCAUCAACUUCUUUAUCAUGUCCCCUAUUUGGACAAGACUCGCUUCCAUGUUUCUCGAUGAUUCUUCUUGUUUGGGCGUGGUUUGUGAAUGCAUUGUUGCUGGCAUACAAUUGACACAUUAUUCCAUAGACUCCAUAGACGAUGCCACUGUUAAUGCUGUGUUUCGUACAUUGGGCAACUCCAUUCACUGCUUGUUGAACUUGCAAAAUUCACUAGAAUGAGUUCCUUCUCCCCCCCCCCCCC